rnacentral:rRNA from 1 species
UACGUAGGGUGCGAGCGUUGUCCGGAAUUAUUGGGCGUAAAGGGCUCGUAGGCGGUUUGUCGCGUCGGGAGUGAAAACACCGGGCUUAACUCGGUGCUGGCUUUCGAUAAGGGCAGACUAGAGGUAUUCAGGGGAGAACGGAAUUCCUGGUGUAGCGGUGAAAUGCGCAGAUAUCAGGAGGAACACCGGUGGCGAAGGCGGUUCUCUGGGAAUGUCCUGACGCUGAGGAGCGAAAGCCAGGGGAGCAAACGGG